AUUGAACGCUGGCGGCAUGCCUUACACAUGCAAGUCGAACGGCAGCACGGACUUCGGUCUGGUGGCGAGUGGCGAACGGGUGAGUAAUAUAUCGGAACAUACCUUGUAGUGGGGGAUAACUAUCCGAAAGGAUAGCUAAUACCGCAUACGCCCUAAGGAGGAAAGUGGGGGAUCGCAAGACCUCAUGCUAUAAGAGUGGCCGAUAUCUGAUUAGCUAGUUGGUGCGGGAAAGGCUCACCAAGGCGACGAGCAGUAGCUGGUCUGAGAGGACGACCAGGCACACUGGAAGUGAGACACGGUCCAGACUCCUACGGGAGGCAGAAGUGGGGAAUUUUGGACAAUGGGGGCAACCCUGAUCCAGCAAUGCCGCGUGAGUGAAGAAGGCCUUCGGGUUGUAAAGCUCUUUUGUCAGGGAAGAAACGGUUGUGGCUAAUAUCCAUGGCUACUGACGGUACCUGAAGAAUAAGCACCGGCUAACUACGUGCCAGCCGCCGCGGUAAGAC
rnacentral:rRNA from 1 species